rnacentral:tRNA from 1 species
GAUAAUGUGGCUGAUUUAGGCAAUAAAUUGUAAAUUUAUCUAAGAAAAUUUUGUUAUUUUCCGUUAUUA